UACGAAGGGGGCUAGCGUUGCUCGGAAUCACUGGGCGUAAAGCGCACGUAGGCGGAUUGUUAAGUCAGGGGUGAAAUCCUGGAGCUCAACUCCAGAACUGCCUUUGAUACUGGCGAUCUUGAGUCCGGGAGAGGUGAGUGGAACUGAGAGUGUAGAGGUGAAAUUCGUAGAUAUUCGCAAGAACACCAGUGGCGAAGGCGGCUCACUGGCCCGAUACUGACGCUGAGGCACGAAAGCGUGGGGAGCAAACAGG
rnacentral:rRNA from 1 species